rnacentral:lncRNA from 1 species
CAAGACCUAAAAUGAUAAUCCCAAGUCCAAAAUCAGUCAUGAUUCAACAUUAAAUCAAUACCAUUAAACCGACAACAAUCAAUCUCCAAAUUUGUUGCUUACCCUUAACGCUCUGAAAGAUCUUAACUACGAUCUCGCAGGGAAACCACGUUCCUUGCGAUUUGCUGCUGCCAAAACAAGGAAUUGAUACUAACGAAGAGUUAGGAACAUCACAAACUAAUAAAAGAAAAAAUUCUCUGAC